rnacentral:tRNA from 1 species
GCUAUAUUAGCAUAUACAAUGCUUUAAGCUUAGAACUUAACUAAGUAGAUUACUUAAACUACAUUUAGUA